UGAGACCGCUGCCCUAUUGAUUGAUUGAUUAUUGUCUAUGGUAUUACAAUAUUGUAGUAGACUAAAUAUAAAAUCACAAUUUUAUUUUUGUCAACACAGUAACAUCACAUGAAAAGUAUUUAAAUUUUGAUAAUCCAUGGAAGUUAAUCUAAAUUGCUGCAUUGCUUCCUGUAGUUUCAAAGGAGAUAAUUUGAAAGAAAUUUUGAAGCAUUUGAAAACUCAUACUAAAUUUGGAUCAGUGAUUAUUUGCCCUUAUAUAAACUGCUUGAAAGAUCAGAAGGAGCAGACGAAGGCUAGGGUAUGAAACGCCGAGCGAAAGUUUGGAAGACCGGAAAAAAAGUCAACAUCAACAGAUCAUACAGAUGAUAUGGUAAAAAACCAAGAUUGGUUAAAAGAACAUUUCAAGUUACAGCACCACAAUGCCACGGAGGUAUUGAUAAAAAUGGCGUCCACAUUCGACCUUCAACGAUUAACCAUCAACAGUUUCAUGAUGAUAAUCGACUUACGGUUGGAGUGGCCAUUCUUGUUUGAAAAACUUUAUCUGUAUGAAUAUUAUGCGAGGCUACAGGGAAGGGGUGAUUCCACACAGUUCUUGCGCAGCAGUAUGGAAAAUAAUGGGAUCGAGAUUUACAGGAAACUAAAGACAUCAAAUUACUCCGGCAUGAACAAUUUGGCUGCAUCCAUAAAGGUCGAAUGUGAGAAGCAUCAGUAAAGCUCCAAAAACUUUGAGAUUUCUGGAUCUCUUGGCAUGUUAUUUCAAAGAGGAAUUAUCAUCCAUUUACCAGAUAUUUGAUGAAGAUGUAACAGACGAGAGAAUAUGUGAGGAUGUGCAGCCAACACCAACAGUUAUCAUUCGUGGCACCUCUCUUAUCAAUGCUAGCAAGCUACAUGUAAUAUUGGAAAAGUCUGUAUAUAUUGAAUGUGCAGAUUUCUUCGAUGCAGUGACAUGCGCCUUUGGAUCUUAUUACGUUUUCAAUAUGCAAUACCCGAAGGAGGCAAAGAAAACGUACGAGUUUGUACAACGAUACUUCGCAGGAAUUGGUGACAAUGCCCCCCGCUCAAAAAAGAAUACUGAUGAAAAUAGACUACACCCAAAAGUUCAGGCCCUACUGGAAAAAUUCCAAUAAUUCAAUAUACCAUCAACAAUGAAAACUUCCACAAACUUUAUACAAAGAAACUUGCACUGCUUUGGACAGAUUACACUUUUUCACUGUUUAAAUUAUAUUUCAGAUGAUAAUGUGACUUAUCCAUUUGACAUAUAAAAAUUUGGAAUUUUCUUAUUUUAAGGUUUUAGCUGUUUUUAUGAAAUUUAGGUUUUUUUUCACUCAUUCUAUUCCUCAGUGUUUCUAUUUUAUGGUUUAUCACUGUUUUUUUUAUACAAUUUUUUUCUUCAGGGUUUAUUACUAUUUUCACCAUUUCUUUCUUCAUGGUUUAUCACUGUUGUACAAUUUCUUUCCGUUUCAUUCGCAUAGUUUCCAAUUUCAUUUUAUUUGUAAAUAAAUUCGGUUUCUUAUAA